rfam:Populus trichocarpa scaffold_6_contig_72, whole genome shotgun sequence.
UCAUCUCGUGUUAAUUUGCAAAAUAACAGGGGCCAAGGUCGACUAAUGAGAUAACGGGGGCUAAGCUUCAUUGUCAAGAGAGAAAUAACCCAGAUCACUAGCUAAGGCCCCUAAAUUACCACUUAGUGAUACAAAAAAAAGAGAGAGAAGGAUGCAGAGAUAGCUAGGAGGAUUGCCUAAAAGCAACCACCUUUGAAAAAGUGCGUAAUAGCUUACUGAUCGAGCGCUCUUACGCUAAAGAUGAACAAGGCUAAACGAUUUGUUGAAGUUAUUAGAUGUAAAAAUUCAUGGAUAGGGGAGCGUUCCUCUUAAAAGGAAGCUUCUGCGCGAGCAAGGGUGGAUGAAAUGGAAGCA